rnacentral:rRNA from 1 species
GACGAACGCUGGCGGCGUGCUUAACACAUGCAAGUCGAACAGAAAGGCCCUGCUUGCAGGGUACUCGAGUGGCGAACGGGUGAGUAACACGUGGGUGAUCUGCCCUGCACUUCGGGAUAAGCCUGGGAAACUGGGUCUAAUACCGGAUAGGAGCCAUUUUUAGUGUGAUGGUUGGAAAGUUUUUUCGGUGUAGGAUGAGCUCGCGGCCUAUCAGCUUGUUGGUGGGGUAAUGGCCUACCAAGGCGGCGACGGGUAGCCGGCCUGAGAGGGUGGACGGCCACAUUGGGACUGAGAUACGGCCCAGACUCCUACGGGAGGCAGCAGUGGGGAAUAUUGCACAAUGGGCGCAAGCCUGAUGCAGCGACGCCGCGUGGGGGAUGACGGCCUUCGGGUUGUAAACUCCUUUCGCUAGGGACGAAGCUUUUUGUGACGGUACCUAGAUAAGAAGCACCGGCUAACUACGUG